GGGAACUUAAAGCCACCCCAUCCAUGGGUUGGAAACCGGAGCUGGUCCGCUUGAAAGUCAACAGGCAGAAUCUGCCUGCACCGAAGGAGAGCCUUCAUCCGAAGAAACCACUAAAUUCGUUUUCCUCCAGGUCCGGGAGGAGCCCUCCACCCCAGGAUGUAAGAACACUGCCAUUCACACCGGGGCCUAGUCCUUUGCCUCAGCUGUCCUUAUGAACUUCACUCUGAACACAAGCGUGGGGUUCUUCUCAAAGGAAGUUCUGUCUGGGGCUUUUGGGCCGGACUGCCUGGAUAUUUCUUUCUUCCUUAUCGCUGGAUUUUAACUAAGAUUUGCUCAGGAUCAAGAAUAACCUGUCUUUAUCCAAUACAGAACAGGCCCCUCCCGUCAAGAGCUGCCCAACCCGGGAGGGCCAGAGCCAGUCGGAGAGCGUGAGUGGCCUGGAGGACUGCGGGUACCAGAGGCAAGACAACCUGGGACGUCCCUGCUAAAACAACACACGGCCCUCGGCGCACGGUGCCCAGGGCAGCCGCACAGCUGUCCUGUGAAGUCCAGUGGGAGCGGAAGCCGAGCUAUCGGUCUGGGGCCCACGGCUGCUGCCUCGCUGAAACGAAUACACCGGAGACAUGCGUGGAAUCGACUGCACGCUGUGCACACUUCCUUCUCCCCACACAGCCAGUGACUGCGCAGGCACAGAGGAGGGUGGGAUGACCACAUCCUGUUGGUUCUGUCUCUGAGACGACUGGUGCUACUGAUGGGGAUCAUCGCAAAUCAGCUUCAUUUCCUGAGUGGAAAGAGCAGACCUCUUCAUUCCCUCAGGAGGGAAACCUGAGGCGCUGACAACAUGCUCAGCCUCACACACAACCACAACCAGUCCCUCUGCUGCUCAGAGGUCGGUGCUGUCUCAGGGCCUGGUCUAUGUCUUUAAUGAGCUUAACCUGUGGUUCUUGGAGUCCCCCCCACAGCCAGCCAGACCACCCUCCGGCCCCUCAGCCUGCCUCCCAGGAUAGCUACAACUGGGCCCUUCCUUACACUUCACCUUCACUUUUGUCUCCUUCUCCCCAGCCCACCUGGCUCUCUCUCUCGCAGGCUGAUCUUCCCACAGUGCUCUGCCCUCCUCGCCACCAGAGCUGACUUAUAAAUGCCUCUCCACCAGCUCCUCUCCCUUCUUGACCCUCCCCGUCUCUCCAGGUCCAUCUCGAGCCCCACUCCUUUAUGAAGCCUUCCCUGAAACCCAAGGCCUGCAUGGUAGUGUAGUGCAAAGGCAUGAACUUAUAGUCAGACAUACCUGGGCCCUGAAGCCCAGACAUACCUGGGUCUGAAGCCCAGCCCUGCCUCUUGCAGUUUCCACUUUUUUUUGGGUGGAAAAAGGGGUAGGGCUGGGGAUGUGAGAAUUUUAAAAGAAAGUACACGUAAAGCACCAGUAAUUUGUAGGUAAAUUAUAAUAAAAACCCUAAUACUCAAUGUCUCUACCUAAAUGUCACCACAUGUACAUGGCGGUUCUUGAUUACACUCAGUAUGGUGUCCUGUUAGAUACGGGGGAGUCACCGGCGACACGGGGUUAGACUCGAAAGUCAGCAUAUUAGGCAAAAUAGAAUAUACUCAAAAUUACCCUUAAAAAUCCCUUGAAUUGAUUACAACAUAUAGUCCAUAUGGCUUUGCAUAUACUGAUCUAUAUAUCUGCAUAAAAGCAUAAUAUAUAUAGUCAAGGACAGCUUAUAAUAAAA